UACGUAGGUGGCAAGCGUUGUCCGGAAUUAUUGGGCGUAAAGCGCGCGCAGGUGGUUUCUUAAGUCUGAUGUGAAAGCCCCCGGCUCAACCGGGGAGGGUCAUUGGAAACUGGGAAACUUGAGUGCAGAAGAGGAUAGUGGAAUUCCAAGUGUAGCGGUGAAAUGCGUAGAGAUUUGGAGGAACACCAGUGGCGAAGGCGACUUUCUGGUCUGUAACUGACACUGAGGCGCGAAAGCGUGGGGAGCGAACAGG
rnacentral:rRNA from 1 species